GUUGUAUGGUUAAGUGACUAAGCGUACACGGUGGAUGCCUUGGCAGUCAGAGGCGAUGAAGGACGUAUUAACUUGCGAUAAGCCCAGAUUAGGCAGUAAAAGCCACUUGAGUCUGGGAUUUCCGAAUGGGGAAACCCAACUGCAUAAGCAGUUACUGUUAACUGAAUACAUAGGUUAACAGGGCGAACCGGGGGAACUGAAACAUCUAAGUACCCCGAGGAAAAGAAAUCAACCGAGAUUCCGAAAGUAGCGGCGAGCGAAAUUGGACUAGCCCUUAAGCUUUACACGC
rnacentral:rRNA from 1 species